rnacentral:misc_RNA from 1 species
AUACAUGUGUACAUGGAAACUGUUUCCGCUGGAUCAAGAGUGGCCUAAAAUGGAAAUUGUUUCGGCUGAAAGAAGAGUGUUAUCGCCGUUAUUUAUAAUUCGUAGAAGGCUUUGUUAUUUGUUUCGUCGUGAGUGCAUAAGACCGACGGAUUUAGGCCGGAGACUAAUGCUGUAAUAAGCAUUUUUGUCUGAGCGGGCGACAGAGAUGUUACUCGAACUCAUUGCGACUUUCUGCUUUAUUGUUUCAUGUAUCCCUUUCCUCGCUUCUGCAGUUUGGCUUACUUGGUCAAAAAGAACGCGGCAUAUACCGCACAUCCCUCGUAGAUGGCCUAUCGUAGGUAAUGCAUUCCAGUUGUCCAUGAACCAGUGUCAUCUUGUUUUUACGGAGUGGUCGAAACGUUACGGAGCCGUGUUCGAAGUGAAACUAUUCAACGAAAAGAUCGUAGUUUUGAAUGACUAUAACAGUAUUCAUGAAGCCCUGGUGCAGGCCGGGGCCACUUUUGCUGGCCGACCGAAGAUGCACCGUACAGACCAAAAGCAGAGGUACAAAAAGUCGAUUGUUUGGCAAACCUACACUCAAAAGUUGGUCUUCUUGCGAAAAGUGGUACACAAAUCGUUGAAGAUGUACGGGCUCGGCCUUUUAGCGUUAGAAGAUAUAUGUAGGCCAGAACUGGAGUCAUUGGUGAACCGAAUUCAGCAAAUGGACGGCACGGCAUUUGACCCAAGUCGUAUUUUCUUCGACUCUGUCGGCAACGUAAUGUUAUAUUUUGUAAGUUAUACCAGCUUCAUGCAGUACUAUAGAUGGUCAAUGAAAUUGUAUCUGUGUAUUGCCGUUGACUUUAUUAUUUUACUUAGAGGUGUGAAUAGCUGUAUGCUUUUUAUAGCUUGUUGGACUUCGCUUUGACCCUGACGGGCCGGAGAUUGAGACCAUCCGAGCCAUGAGUAAACUAUUCAACGAAACGUUCGGUGCAGGGGACGGAAAGCGUCUUGACGUCAUGCCCUGGCUCAGGUUCGGGCAAAAUAAAGAAACUCGGCGAUUGGAGACAGCACUGAACGUCAGAGACCGAUUGUGGGACAAUCUUGCGAAACAGUAUGGAACGUUUUCGGAAAAAAGCGUUAUUGGUCACAUGCAAAGUCUGAUAAACGAAAACUCAGACAUAGAUGACGACACUGCUAAAGAAUGCUUCACCAACUUAAUUUUAGCAGGUGUGGACACGACAGCUACUGCCCUGACUUGUCUGAUUUUGAUCCUGCUGCAGAAUCAAGAUCUGCAGACACGGAUGCAGGAAGAGAUCAAUGGUGUUUUCCCGGAAGGUGUCUUUCCAUCGCUUUCUAAACGCCAACAAACCCCGUUCACAGAGGCCGUUAUUUUAGAACUUCUUCGUUAUAUUUCACAUGUGCCCCUUGCUGUACCUCAUUCUACUCUAGAGAACGCCACCAUAUGUGGAUAUCAUAUAGAUGCAAAUGCUACGGUAUUUUUUAAAAUUUAAUUUAGCUUUUUAUUACUUUUUACACGUUUUCAUUUAUAUAUUCAUUUACCAUAUCUGCAACACCAAUAAGGUGAAUCCCUUGCAAUGUUUCAAUUUUUAAUAAAUUCAGAUUUACAUAAACCUGUGGGCAUUGCAUCAUGACGAAUGUAUUUGGCCCGAUCCUUGGAAAUUUGACCCAGGUCGUUUUCUUGACAACGACGGCGCAAUUCUUAGUCCGUUGCAUCCGAAAAGAAAAAGGUGAGUAAUAUUUGCAUGUCACGCGUCCCAAUUUUAUCAAUAGAGUGAUUGAACUUUAAAAAACCACAAUAUGUAC